CGCAUACACUGACACGAGGAUUCUUGAAGGCUGAAGAAGCUCUCAAGGCUAAUCGCAUGAAGAUCUGUAUGGCCGAAGACCGAAGACUGGUACACAAAGACUAGCCAAUUAUUCACCGAGAGACAAUGCCACGUGAAGAAAGCAAAGAUUCCUGAAGAUUGAAACUUGUCGGCACUCUCUCGCACUUUUCUAUAUUAUUAGAAGGACACGCGUAUACCCUAGUAGGACACGUGUGCAUGCUACCGUGGGUAAAAUAAGUGAAGGAAGGCUCCCGAAGGCCACCUUGCAGCCACCCCUCGCGGCUAUAAAAGGAGACGCUGGGCUCAAGAAGAGAACACAAGAGACGGGAGAGCACGGAGCACUCAAAGCAUCGAGACUCUCCACCAGAGCACCACUUCCUUCGUAGUCUAGCCACCACCACUACUAGUAGAAUAGCCAAGAAGGCGCUUAGUUCGCCAAGAGUUUGAAGGUGCCUGGCCGUAGAUGUGGUCUGGUGUCCCAAGCUUCUGCCUCGAGGUCGCCAUGCUUCACCAAGAAUCAUGACGGUGCUGCCUUAUGCUCGCCAUGCACAGAACUGGGGUCGUGAGGAGGAAGACAAGGCCACGCAUGAGAAAAUUCAAGAUGGAGGUGGCACCAAACAUAACUUGAGCCUGAUUUUUUUCCUAGCUUAGCGUUUUGCUUUCAUAGGUUUGGAGCUCUAAAUUUAAGCUUUUGCUCUGAAUCUUCAAUUGAUCCAUAGGUUUCUGAUCGUUCUGAACAAAUGCUUGAACUCUUUGUUGUUUGAUGUGAUUUUGGAAGUUCAUUAGACUUUGGAAAGUUGUUUGCUUUCCCUUAAUCAAUUUCUGAAUUUCCUCCCUUCU